rnacentral:rRNA from 1 species
AGCGAACGCUGGCGGCAUGCUUAACACAUGCAAGUCGCGCGGGUGGUUUCGGCCAUCAGCGGCGGACGGGUGAGUAUCGCGUAGGAAUGUAUCCCGAGGUGGGGGACAACCCUGGGAAACUGGGGCUAAUACCGCAUGGGGCCUGUGGGUCAAAGCCUUAGGGCGCCUUGGGAGCAGCCUGCGUCCGAUUAGGUAGUUGGUGGGGUAAAGGCCUACCAAGCCUGCGAUCGGUAGCUGGUCUGAGAGGACGAUCAGCCACACUAGGACUGAGACACGGCCCAGACUCCUACGGGAGGCAGCAGUGGGGAAUAUUGGACAAUGGGCGCAAGCCUGAUCCAGCAAUGCCGCGUGGGUGAAGAAGGUCUUCGGAUUGUAAAGCCCUUUCGGCGGGGACGAUGAUGACGGUACCCGCAGAAGAAGCCCCGGCUAACUUCGUG